rnacentral:rRNA from 1 species
CUACGGGUGGCUCCAGUGGGGAAUAUUGGACAAUGGGGGAAACCCUGAUCCAGCAAUGCCGCGUGUGUGAAGAAGGCCUGCGGGUUGUAAAGCACUUUCGGUUGGGAGGACUGCUUCUAGCACUAAUAUUGUUGGAAGUUGACGUUACCUUCAGAAGAAGCACCGGCUAACUCCGUGCCAGCAGCCGCGGCAAUACGGAGGGUGCAAGCGUUAAUCGGAAUUACUGGGCGUAAAGCGCGCGUAGGCGGCUAAAUCAGUCGGGUGUGAAAGCCCCGGGCUUAACCUGGGAACUGCAUCCGAUACUGUCUAGCUUGAGUACAGGAGAGGAGAGUGGAAUUCCACAUGUAGCGGUGAAAUGCGUAGAUAUGUGGAGGAACACCAAUGGCGAAGGCAGCUCUCUGGCCUGAUACUGACGCUGAGGUGCGAAAGCGUGGGGAGCAAACAGGAUUAGAUACCCUCGUAGUC